GAUGAACGCUGGCGGCGUGCCUAAUACAUGCAAGUCGAGCGAACGGACGCGACUCUUGCUUCUCUGUUGUUAGCGGCGCACGGGUGUGUCACACGUGUAUCCCCUCCCUAUAAUACUGGUAUCACUUCGGGACACCGUCGCUAAUCCCGGAUAAUCUUUUGAUCCGCAUGGUUCAAAAGUGAAAGUCGGUCUUGCUGUCUCUUCUCGAUGCAUCCGGGCUGCAUUAGCUAGUUGGUACGUUAACGGCUUACCAAGGCAACGAUGCGUGGCCGACCUGAGAGGGUGAUAGGCGACAUGGGAACUGAGACACGGACAAGAGGACUAAGGGAGGGAGCAGUAGGGAAUGGGACGCAAUGGGGGAAAGCACGACGGAGCAACGCCGAGUGAGAGAUGAAGGUCUUCGGAUCGUAAUAAUCUGUUAUGAGGGAAGAACAGAUGUGGAAGUAACUGUGCACAGCGUGACGGUACCGAAUCAGAAAGCCACGGCUAACUACGUG
rnacentral:rRNA from 1 species